AUAUUUACCUGGCAGGGGAGACACCAUGAUCAAGAGGGUCUUUCACCCAGGGCGAGGCUUGGCCAUUGCACUCUGGCCGUGGGAGUGGGAAUCUCGACUGCAUAAUUUAUGGUAGUGGGGGACUGUAGUCACACUCUCCCCUG
rnacentral:snRNA from 1 species